rnacentral:lncRNA from 10 species
GCCGAGAUCCCGCCAUUCAUUGCACUCCAGCCUCGGAAACUAGCAAAACUCCAUCUUAAAAAAAAAGAGGAGGCCGGGUGCAGUGGCUCUGCACAACACUUUGGGAGGCCGAGGCAGGUGGAUCACCUGAGGUCAGAAAUCCGAGACCAGCCUGGCCAACAUGGUGGAACCCCAUCUCUACUAAAAAUGCAAAAAGUAGCCGGGCGUGGUAGCGGGCCCCAGUAAUCCCAGCUGAGGUGGGAGAAUUGCUUGAACCCGGGAGGCCAAGGCUGCAGUGAGCCAAGAUCGCACCACUGCACUCUAGCGUGGGUGACAGAUCAAGACCUUGUCUCAAAAAACAAGAAGAAGAAAAACUACUUUUUUUUUUUCAGAUGGGGUCUCACUCUCACCCAGUCUGGAGUGCAGUGGCGCCAUCUCAGCUCAUUGCAGCCUCUGCCUCCUGGGCUUGAGUGAUCUUCCCACCUCGACCUCCUGAGUAGCUGAACCACAAGUGCAUGCCUGGCCAAUUUUUGUAUUUUUGGUAGAAAUGGAGUUUCACCAUGUUGCCCAGGCUGGUCUCAAAACUGGCCUCCCAAAGUGCUGGGAUUACAGACACAACUGGCCUACCUGCAGGAUUUUCAGUUUAUGGACAUGACUGACUGGAGACAUGGAGAAGCUGUUGUUAUUGGAGAUUUUUAUUACUCGCAUUUCCUGAGCGAUGGGGACACUCACUGUGGGGAAAAGCAAGAGAGAUCAGAUUGUUACUGUGUCUGUGUAGAAAGAAGUAGACAUAGGAGACUCCAUUUUGUUCUGUACUAAGAAAAAUUCUUCUGCCUUGGGAUCCUGUUGAUCUGUGACCUUACCCCCAACCCCGUGCUCUCUGAAACAUGUGCUACGUCCACUCAGGGUUAAAUGGAUUAAGGGCGGUGCAAGAUGUGCUUUGUUAAACAGAUGCUUGAAGGCAGCACGCUCCUUAAGAGUCAUCACCACUCCCUAAUCUCAAGUACCCAGGGACACAGAAACUGCGGAAGGCCGCAGGGUCCUCUGCCUAGGAAAGCCAGGUAUUGUCCAAGGUUUCUCCCCAUGUGAUAGUCUGAAAUAUGGCCUCGUGGGAAGGGAAAGACCUGACCGUCCCCCAGCCCGACACCCGUAAAGGGUCUGUGCUGAGGAGGAUUAGUAUAAGAGGAAGGAAUGCCUCUUGCAGUUGAGACAAGAGGAAGGCAUCUGUCUCCUGCCUGUCCCUGGGCAAUGGAAUGUCUCAGUAUAAAACCCGAUUGUAUGUUCCAUCUACUGAGAUGGGGAAAAACCGCCUUAGGGCUGGAGGUGGGACCCGCGGGCAGCAAUACUGCUUUGUAAAGCAUUGAGAUGUUUAUGUGUAUGCAUAUCUAAAGCACAGCACUUAAUCCUUUACAUUGUCUAUGAUGCAAAGACCUUUGUUCACGUGUUUGUCUGCUGACCCUCUCCCCACAAUUGUCUUGUGACCGUGACACAUCCCCCUCUUUGAGAAACACCCACAAAUGAUCAAUAAAUACUAAGGGAACGCA